UAAGAAGUGGUUUUUGACUUCUCUCAGCCUUAUAUUACUUAAUUCAAUUCAAUGGAUUGAAUGAAGCUAAAUUGUCAGGAUUACGUUCUCAAAAUGACUUAUCUUUAACUUGGGUCUCUCCUAUCAAACGCUUUUUGGAGACUCUUAUUUAUGUAUUUAUAAAAUAAAACAUAAAUAAAUAAAAUUAGAAAAUGGUAGAUUUGACCGACCUGGAUGAGAUGAUAAAGAGAAAUGCUGAAGGAUUAUUAUAUCAUAAAUCUUGUUAUUUCUGUGGCUGCGGAUCUAUUUUAUCAUCUCUAGAGCAUUUAUCAGACCAUCUCGGAAGUGACCAUGAAGAAAAUGCUAGCAGUAAAUGGCUUGAUAUUCGUGAAGAUUUACUUCGCCAUUUUAAAAAUAUUUUUAUUCAUCAA